AAGACUGUGCUUCACAGGAUCAUUUCUGUAGGCUAGUUUUCACAACAAGUUUUUUCCGAAAGGAAAAGAUUCCCACCCACGAUGAUGAGAAGAAGCGUCUAACCUGGAGCGUGAAACUUGGUAGAGUUUUGAUUCAUCUUUCCAGAUGAAUCUCUCUGCUGCUGAAGAUCGGCUCUCUUUCAUGGUUUGGAUGCAUUCUGAGUGGU